rnacentral:rRNA from 1 species
AUAUCAAUAAGCGGAGGAAAAGAAACCAACAGGGAUUGCCCUAGUAACGGCGAGUGAAGCGGCAACAGCUCAAAUUUGAAAUCUGGCUCUCGGGCCCGAGUUGUAAUUUGUAGAGGAUGCUUUUGGUGCGGUGCCUUCCGAGUGCCCUGGAACGGGACGCCAUAGAGGGUGAGAGCCCCGUCUGGUUGGAUGCCAAUCCUCUGUAAAGCUCCUUCGACGAGUCGAGUAGUUUGGGAAUGCUGCUCUAAAUGGGAGGUAUAUGUCUUCUAAAGCUAAAUACCGGCCAGAGACCGAUAGCGCACAAGUAGAGUGAUCGAAAGAUGAAAAGCACUUUGAAAAGAGAGUUAAAAAGUACGUGAAAUUGUUGAAAGGGAAGCGUUUAUGACCAGACUUGGGCUUGGUUAAUCAUCCAGGGUUCUCCCUGGUGCACUUUUCCAGUCCAGGCCAGCAUCAGUUUGCUUCGGGGGAUAAAGGCUUCGGGAAUGUGGCUCUCUCCGGGGAGUGUUAUAGCCCGUUGCGUAAUACCCUGGGGCGGACUGAGGUACGCGCUUCUGCAAGGAUGCUGGCGUAAUGGUCAUCAACGACCCGUCUUGAAACACGGACCAAGGAGUCGUCUUCGUAUGCGAGUGUUCGGGUGUCAAACCCCUACGCGUAAUGAAAGUGAACGCAGGUGAGAGCUUCGGCGCAUCAUCGACCGAUCCUGAUGUUCUCGGAUGGAUUUGAGUAAGAGCAUACGGGGCCGGACCCGAAAGAAGGUGAACUAUGCUUGUAUAGGGUGAAGCCAGAGGAAACUCUGGUGGAGGCUCGCAGCGGUUCUGACGUGCAAAUCGAUCGUCAAAUAUGAGCAUGGGGGCGAAAGACUAAUCGAACCUUCUAGUAGCUGGUUUCCGCC